rnacentral:lncRNA from 1 species
AUUAGCCUAUGACUGUGCUAGGUGCACAGGAUACAGAAAUUAAGGACUCAGUGUCUGCCCUAAAAGGCUUCUAAUCUAGCAGAAAGGGUGACAAAUAAAAAGGCAAUUACAAUAUAAUGUGGAGAAUGAUUAAGUGCCUGAUUCGGCUUAAAUCAGAAGAUAAGCUAAAAUGCAUUUCAAGUAUUUCAGGUUUUCAGCUGCUUCGAGAGUAGCAGACACCAAUUAGCUUCCUGACUGGCUCUGGGGUGUGGAGAGAGGCAAGUUGUGGCACCUCAGGGCACCGGAGCAGCCCUCUGUCCCCACAGGCACUCGGCAUGCUGACAGGUCUGGAAAAGGACUGUCAUACCCUAAAGAAAAGGAGGACUCAUUCGGCUGACCUUAGGGAGUAAAAUGUCCCCUGAAACCUUUUGGACCCCUAGAAGGUUCCUCAGGGGCUUCUGCUGGAAAAAAGCUGAAGAGGCAACUUGUAAACAGUUAAGUCAAGAUGCACUUAAAAAGAAAAUCUCAGAACUAGGUCAGAAUUGGACAGGGGGAAAGAACCAUCUGGAUGUGUUAUGAAGCUUUUCAGAAACUGUUUUCAUGAUUUUUAUCACCGACAUCUAUUGGAGUAAUGUUAUUUUUUUAUUUGAAUAUUUAAUUUUCAAAGUUAAAACCUGAGAAAUAGAAGCAUUUUAUCUUUCACAAAUAGCUGUGAGUCAUGGUUUAUAUGUCUUGAGUUUUUCUCAGCUUUAAAAUCUCAGUUGGCUGUGAAGUGGGGGAGAAAAACAAAAUAAUGAAAUUGCACAAGGAAAACCAACUUCCAAAAACACUCCCAACAAUGUUCCUUCUUGCAUAUGAAAGAUACAUUAUUAUAUCAGAU